GUGCUCCCUUCAGCAGCACAUACACUAAAGCUGGAAGGGUACACGAGAUUAGCAUGGUCCCUAUGUAGGAUAACACCAAAUUCAUGAAGUAUUCCAAGUUUUU